UACGUAGGGGGCAAGCGUUGUUCGGAAUUACUGGGCGUAAAGGGCGCGUAGGCGGCACGGCAAGUCAGGAGUGAAAGCCCUGGGCUCAACCCGGGAACUGCUUUUGAAACUGCCGAGCUAGAGUGCGGAAGGGGCAACUGGAAUUCCCAGUGUAGCGGUGAAAUGCGUAGAUAUUGGGAAGAACACCUGAGGCGAAGGCGGGUUGCUGGGCCGACACUGACGCUGAUGCGCGAAAGCCAGGGGAGCAAACGGG
rnacentral:rRNA from 1 species